CAUGAACAAUAUUGUGGAACUGUCACCACCAUCUAUUUCCAGAACUUUGUCAUCGUCCAAAACUGAAAUUCUGAACCCAUUAAAUAACACACCGUUCCUUCUUCCCCAGCCCCUGGUAACGUCUGUUUCACUUUCUGUCUCUAUGAAAUUGCCUAUCCUGGGUAUCUCACGUAAGUGGAUUCAUAGAACACUUGUUGAAGUCAUUCUUGCUCUAGAGUCCCCCUGGGAUCGGGCUGCACUCACUUGGUUCUUCCCUACCAUACUCAGCCGGUCUAUCAACCAGUUUCUCCUGGGAGCACUUUCUUAACAAAUCAUAUAAAUAUUAUAUAUACUUUUUUUUUUUUCCAAAACUGGUUUGUACAAAAACCAACCCAGAGAACGGCAGAGCGUUUUCCCAUGUUGAAACACAUUGAAGAAUACCAUUUUAACACCCAAAGAGUUUCUCCUUCACCAACCUCCUGUUGAUGGGCGUCAAAUUUAUAGCCAAUGUUCCCCAUUAUAAACGGUGAUUUGAUGAAUGUCCUUCCGUAUAAUUAUUUCCUAGGACAAGUCCCUGGAGGCAGGAUUAUGUGUCAAAGAGUAUGAACAUUUUGAAGUUUUGAUAUAUAGCACCCAACCGCCCUCCCAAAAGAUUGGAUCAAUUCCAUUCACAGAAAAGAAGAGUGUCUGUUUUUAUCUCCACGUUUGCCCUUUGCCCACACUGAGUAUUAUCGUUUUUAAAGCUCUUUACCAAUUUCAUAGAAAAAAAAUCUUGUUUUGAUGGCUUUUCUUUGAUUACCAGUGGGCUCUCUUUCAUUGCUUUUCUCCUCACUCUCAUUGGAACGAGAAUUUUGCACUGAUUUCCACACUUACGCCAACAUUUUUAGUUAAUUUGUCAAGUGUAUGUCUUUUCUCUCUCAGUAGGUAGUAAUUGAUGGACACAGAACUUCCACAAUGUAUCUUCUGACCUUAUCCAAGUUUCUUUUGGUCGCAAGUAGAAACACCAUCUCACACUAUCCAAUAAAAGAAAUUUAUUAAGGAUGCAAGAGUGUUGGAAAGCUGUCAACAGCAAAGCCAUCCUCUCUCUCUCUCUCUCUGUCUCUCCUUCAUAUUUCUCAUUCUGCCAAUCAGCUUUCUCAUGCUCAUGGUGGAAAAUGGCAGUCCCUUCCAUCACCUUGGUUCCAGUAACUCACAGAGAUUAAUUGGCUCUUUCCGAAUUCCAAUCCCAAAUUCCUGAGGGGCCCAGCUAGGGUCUGGAGUCCAUCUCGGGCCGGUCAUGCUGCUGACACUGUGUGGUUCUCCUCACAACAUUCUCCUCUCCUCCUCAGGUACCUGGACAGCAGUCCCAGCCAGGCUUUACCCUGGUACAAACUGUCCCUUGGCUUGUGGCUUUGUCCACAGCUGCCCUGCCACCCGUUGAGUAGUGUCACAUGGUCUAGAAUCUCCUCUCUCCCUAGGCCAGGCUAAGACACAGCCUGAAGCCUCAGUCUCACCACUGCAAGGAGCCUUUUCACAGACCCUGAUAAGACCUUGAUUCAGGGGAAGGCAGGACUGUCCCCUAGAGAAGAAUCUGGGACGGGUCAAGGCAUAUUUGCAUCCGCAGGCCAGCUGAAAGGGCAGGUUACAAAUCUAUGAGAUUAUUUUCCCUAUGGGGUCAGAAUGUCGUAGCAUUAAUCACAAACUCCUGAGUAGGUGGCAUGGACUGGCCACUCCCUGAUACUGAAGUGCCAGGAGCAUCAAGCUUGAGGGCUCCUGUCCCAAAUACUCUUCUGAUAAUUACUUGCCAGAUUUGAAUGGCUAGAAUUUGGCUGGGCUCCUCUCAAGGACCUUGUUUACAGCUUGGGGUGAAGGGAGUUCUCCUGUGUAGUCCAUCAAAAGAUGAAUGGAGGGGCCGGCCCGGUGGCACAGUGGUUAAGUUUGCAUGUUCCACUUCUCAGCAGCCUGGAGUUUGCCGAUUCGGAUCCCGGGUGCAGACAUGGCACCGAUUGGCAAAAAGCCAUGCUGUGGUAGGUGUCCCACGUAUAAAGUAGACAACGACGGGCAUGGACGUUGGCUCAGGGCCAGUCUUCCUCAGCAAAAAGAGGAGGAUUGGCAGUAGUUAGCUCAGGGCUAGUCUUCCUCAAAAAAAAAAAAAAAAAAAGAUAAAUAGAUAAACACAGUGUAGUCUAUCCAUACAGUGGACUAUUAUUCAGCCAUUAAAAGGAAUGGAGUACUGUACUGACACAUGCUACAACAUGGAGGAACUUUGAAACCAUUAUGCUAAGUGAGAGAAGCCAGACACAAAAGGCCACAUAUUGUAUGAUUCCAUUUAGAAGAAAUGUCCAGGGGAAAUCUGGACGCAGAGACAGAGACAGAGGAGAAUGCCAAGUGAGACUGGAAUGAUGCUGCCACAAGCCAAGGAAUGCCAAAGGUUGCCAGCAAACACCAGAAGCUGGGAGAGAGACGUGGAACAGACCCUCCCUCAGAGCCUCCAGAAGGAGCCACCCCUUCUGACUCCGUGAUUUCAGAUUUCCAGCCUCCAGAGCUGUGAAACAAUAAAUUUCUGUUUUUUAAGCCAACCAGUUUGUGGCACUUUGUUACGGCAGCCCUGGAAAACCAGC
rnacentral:lncRNA from 1 species